AGCAAUGGCGGAUACUUCAAAACCAGGAACUGAAUGCGAGAAGAAAGUAAAUAUAAAUACAAAAGACUCUGAAGCAACUGAUGUGUUUGAAGCAGUGACAGGACAGUUAUUUGAAGAACUAAAAAGGGUUUAUCAAGAGACAGGGAAAGUGACAGAUGAAGUCUUGUCAGCGCUGAGCAAUGUUCUACAAGCACCCUUGUUACCAGCAUUAGAUCUUGUUGACAACAGAAGUGUGUCUUUGCUUGUAUGCCCUGCAGGGAGACAACUCUACCAGGUUGUUGGAAGUUCUGGUACACCAUACACGUGUUUUAAAGGCAACCAUUACUGUUCCUGUCCUGCGUACAGAUUUUCUAUCCUCAAAAAAGAGGAACAUACAAUGAAGCCAUCAUUGUGACUUAGGGGUCUAAAUUGAUGUGCAUCUGGUUCCUGCAUGACUCUCCGCAUAAAAGGCCACUCCUCUUAGGUCAGUAGGUCAAGCACAAGACUUCUUAACCCAUAUCAUGCUGGGAAGGAUUGAUUCUGCCUUUGCGGCCAGAUUAGAUCAUGAUCUGCACUAUUCGCUGUUCCGUCAAGUUCAUUAUAGAAAUUUAGCAGGUGUAAGCAUGUGCUUGCAGUGAAGCUGUCGGAUGCUAUGGAUGUAACAAAGAAACUUGAAGUGACAGACAAAGAGUUGACAGACAUGUUGAUUAAUCUAGAAUGAGAAUAAACCGGAACAGAGCUUUUAUAUAGAAGAUGAAUACAUCUGAAAAGAGUUGAUGACAGUUUGGCUGUAAGUCAGAUGGGCACACUUGCAUUGGAGUAAACAAGGAUAUGACUUAAGAAGGAACUGAUACAUUUGCCAUUUGGAGUGAUGGUUUAGAUGUAUAGAGUUGGGUUGAGAGUGUUGGUAGAUAUGGAUACACGUCUGAACACAUAAUGUAACUGGAAGAAAGGUUCAGACCAAUUGAUUAGAUACACAACACUAAACAUUUAAAUGUACAAGAGUGCUAAAUUAGCUUGUAUAUAGAGCUGUCAGCAGUCUAUUGCAGAAAGAGCUUCAAACCAAUUUUUGCACACAGUCCACUUAUUGCAGCACACUAUAAGCCUUGGACAGGUCAUAGAUUUAGAGCUGUGAAUUUAGUAUUACAUUUAAAACUCAAAACAAGCCUGAAACUGGCUGCUGGAGAACUUCAGAAACCUGGUGUAGACAACAUAAAGUGAAUGUUAGUUUUACAGAGGUCUAUAAAAUAAGAUUUUUAAUCAUGCAACUGCUGUACCCUGAACAUCUGUUAAAAUAAUUUGAUGUUGUUGACUCACCUGAGCACCAUGUGCACUGGGUGAGUCAGUCAUCACUUACUAUCCGUCAUUUGUUCAUCCAUCCACACUUCUUCCAGCCACAUCUCCUCUGAAACCAUUUGAGCUGCACCAUGAGAAAACAAACAUAGUGCAU
rnacentral:misc_RNA from 1 species